rnacentral:lncRNA from 1 species
AGUCUUCCGCAUCACUUGCUUAGUCUGGAAUGCGAAGUAGGAUGGUGCUUAUAGGCCAUCUGGCAGCCCUUGAGCCCUCAACUCGUAUUGGGCGGUUUGCAGGUACGGGAUAUGCACCCCCACGGCCAUGUAACACACUCAAGGAAGAAACUAACCCCGGGCACAUCAUCGCCCACACGAGCAUCCAUUCGUGACCAGGUCGCAUGCACAAAAGGCGGGUGGGCUCUCCCCGUGUUCUCCAUACAAGGCAGCCAGUCAUAUGUGCUGAUCGCAUGCAAAAGCACAGUCACAUUCUGAACGUAGAGCGAAUGUCUGAGUUGCUACAUCUUGUGGACUUGUUUUGUGAAGCUUUUGGGAUGCGACC